rnacentral:rRNA from 1 species
GUAGGCCUACGGGACGCAGCAGUGAGGAAUAUUGGUCAAUGGGCGCGAGCCUGAACCAGCCAAGUCGCGUGAGGGAAGACGGUCCUAUGGAUUGUAAACCUCUUUUGUCGGGGAGCAAAGGACGCCACGUGUGGCGUUCCGAGAGUACCCGAAGAAAAAGCAUCGGCUAACUCCGUGCCAGCAGCCGCGGUAAUACGGAGGAUGCGAGCGUUAUCCGGAUUUAUUGGGUUUAAAGGGUGCGCAGGCGGAAGAUCAAGUCAGCGGUAAAAUUGAGAGGCUCAACCUCUUCGAGCCGUUGAAACUGG